rnacentral:rRNA from 1 species
UAGGGAAUCUUCGGCAAUGGACGAAAGUCUGACCGAGCAACGCCGCGCGAGUGAAGAAGGUUUUCGGAUCGUAAAACUCUGUUGUUAGAGAAGAACAAGGACGUUAGUAACUGAACGUCCCCUGACGGUAUCUAACCAGAAAGCCACGGCUAACUACGUGCCAGCAGCCGCGGUAAUACGUAGGUGGCAAGCGUUGUCCGGAUUUAUUGGGCGUAAAGCGAGCGCAGGCGGUUUAUUAAGUCUGAUGUGAAAGCCCCCGGCUCAACCGGGGAGGGUCAUUGGAAACGGGGAGACUUGAGUGCAGAAGAGGAGAGUGGAAUUCCAUGUGUAGCGGUGAAAUGCGUAGAUAUAUGGAGGAACACCAGUGGCGAAGGCGGCUCUCUGGUCUGUAACUGACGCUGAGGCUCGAAAGCGUGGGGAGCAAACAGG